GUUUCCAGGGGCUGAGUGACCAGGGUCUUAAAACAGGUUUAAGACUUGGCUUGCUGGCCCUGGAGAUCCCAUCGCCGUCUUCGUCGAACUCGAACUCCUAGCCGUCGUGCUUCCCUGGUGGGUGUUUACCACACUUCCCACCACCUUGUCCUUGAGAGUCCAUGGCUCCACCCUCCUAGUCCCCUUGCUGACCAUUUGGUGUUGUUUUGGGGGCUACUAUCCAGGCCUGUCGCGUCUUCCUGUGCCAUUUGCCGUUGUACUCAGGUUCCACGAGCUGCCCAUCUCCACAGAAGAGCAGCUGGCAUUGCCCUCCGGCCAUGCUGGCUGAAGAAAAGAAGACUGAGGACCCCAGGACGUCCAGCGCGAGGACCCCAGGAAGCUCAGCGCGAGGACCCCAGGAAGCUCAGCGCGAGGACCCCACCCACAAUGCCCAGCGCGAGGACC
ensembl:lincRNA Meg3 uncharacterized LOC110324815